GAAUAUUGGGCAAUGGGCGCAAGCCUGACUCAGCAAUGCCGCGUGGGUGAAGAAGGUCUUCGGAUUGUAAAGCCCUUUCGGCGGGGACGAUGAUGACGGUACCCGCAGAAGAAGCCCCGGCCAACUUCGUGCCAGCAGCCGCGGUAAUACGAAGGGGGCUAGCGUUGCUCGGAAUUACUGGGCGUAAAGGGCGCGUAGGCGGCCCUGUCAGUCGGGCGUGAAAUCCCCGGGCUCAACCCGGGGGCUGCGCCCGAGACGGCGGGGCUGGAGGACGGGAGAGGCUCGCGGAAUUCCCAGUGUAGAGGUGAAAUUCGUAGAUAUUGGGAAGAACACCGGUGGCGAAGGCGGCGAGCUGGCCCGUUACUGACGCUGAGGCGCGACAGCGUGGGGAGCAAAC
rnacentral:rRNA from 1 species